rnacentral:lncRNA from 1 species
GUCAUUUCCUGAAGAUACUCAUCUCCCGGGAUGAGCUGGAGAACUGAACGCCCGUACUCAGUCGCAGUGGACCACAUGGGCACCCUGUGGGUUGGGAACGAGAGAGCCCAGAUCAAGAUUUUCAGAUAUUUACUACACCAGUCUCAUAUUGUGUAAGCACGGGUCCAUACAUACCGAACGUCGCGACCAAGUGGGACAUGGGUCCGGAUAAAUCACCUAGGGACUAUGGCACACCCCGAUAUAUGCGGUAUCAAGACUAUCCGGUACGUACCGUGAACCACUGGAGGAGAGACGAGCCAAGAAAACCAAAAGUUCAAAUAUACAAAGACGUUCCAGACUACUGGAAAUGGAAACAGGCUAAUAUUUCGUGAAAAGAACUUUUAAUGAGUGUAAUAAACAAAUAUUCUAUAAAGGUGUCUAACAACUGCUUACUAAAGUUGCAAAUGUUGAUUUACCCUCCCGUAUCUUGGUUUAAAGAUUAAUACAUUAUACAUUUUUACUUAAAACUGCAAUAAAGUCUUGAAGAAUG